UGCGCAUCACCUCUUGCUUGUCUAGAUCAGCCCGGACGUUGGCAUGUGCAGCGUAUUUUGUCGGGUUUCGAGAUCAAGAAUCGAUGUCCCUUUGUUGGUUGGUUUUCCGAGAAUCCUUGACCCUUCAUUAUGCUGGCCACCCGGCAAAAUGCGCCUCACUUGCUAGCAUGUGUAUUGUAUUUUGUCGGGUUUCGAGAUCAAGAAUCGAUGUCCCUUUGUUGGUUGGUUUUCCGAGAAUCCUUGACCCUUCAUUACGCUGGCCACCCGGCAAAAUGCGCCUCACUUGCUAGCAUGUCUAGAUCAGCCCGGACGUUGGCAUGUGUAGCGUAUUUUGUCGGGUUUCGAGAUCAAGAAUCGAUGUCCCUUUGUUGGCUGGUUUUCCGAGAAUCCUUGACCCUUGAUUUGUUGCUUUCGCAUUGUUCGGUGCAUGUUUUUCGAGAAUCCUUGACCCUUGAUUUGUUGCUUUCGCAUCGUUCGGUGCAUGUUUUCCGAGAAACCUUGACCCUUGAUUUGUUACUUUCGCAUCGUUCGGUGCAUUCUGGGGAAUGUUUUGGCUUUUGGUGGCUUACUUGGCCUUUUGGCUGGGUUUGUUGCUAUUGGUCGGGCGGCUUUCGGGAAUGUUGACCGUGGAGGUGCAUGAGUGGUGUUUGGUUUGUUACGUGUGGAUGGCUGUUUGCUUGCGCAACAACGUUCACGCUGCAUACCUCUUCAGUUUUGCGGCAAGGCUUGGUUUGGCUUGUGCAUAUUGUGGGUUUCCUGUGUUGCAUACCUAGUUGAAGGAAAAGUGUGGGUUUUACGAUUUUCAUUUUCGUCUUGCGUCGUUCUUUCGGCAUGGGAUGAGCAAUGAAGCGAUCUUUAAGAUCCAUCGUGCUGUUGUGUUUGCAACAAUGAUGUGGCCUAUGAAGCAUCGUUUGGUCUCUUGUAUACGGAAGCUCAUUUGGGCUUGGGUCUUCAUAAGAUCUUCGUUAUGCCCUUGUUAAGCGUUCUCGCUUCUCCUAAACGAUUG
rnacentral:misc_RNA from 1 species